UUUAAUUCGAUGCAAAGUGAAGAACCUUACCAAGGCUUGACAAGCCAUGAAUCCUCUUAAAAGAGAGGGUUGCCCUUGGGAACGCGAACACAGGUGGUGCAUGGCUAUCGUCAGCUCAUGUCGUAAGGUGUUGGGUUAAGUCUCGCAACAAGCGCAACCCUCGUGUUUAGUUGCCACUGUUGAGUUGGGAACCCUGAGCAGACUGUCGGUAAUAAGUCGGAGAAGAAGAUAUGUUUUUUUAUUAAAACAUGUUACUUGUUAUGGUUUA
rfam:Gossypium raimondii Chr03_contig_1064, whole genome shotgun sequence.